UACGUAGGGUGCAAGCGUUGUCCGGAAUUAUUGGGCGUAAAGAGCUCGUAGGCGGUUUGUCGCGUCUGCCGUGAAAACUCGGGGCUUAACCCCGGGCCUGCAGUGGGUACGGGCAGACUAGAGUGCGGUAGGGGAGACUGGAAUUCCCAGUGUAGCGGUGAAAUGCGUAGAUAUUGGGAGGAACACCAGUGGCGAAGGCGGCUACCUGGACCGGUUCUGACGCUGAGGCGCGAAAGCGUGGGUAGCAAACAGG
rnacentral:rRNA from 1 species